UACGUAGGGGGCAAGCGUUGUCCGGAAUCAUUGGGCGUAAAGCGCGCGUAGGCGGCCCGGUAAGUCCGCUCUGAAAGUCCAGGGCUCAACCCUGGAAAGCGGGUGGAUACUGCCGGGCUAGAAUCCGGAAGAGGCGAGUGGAAUCCUGGUGUAGCGGUGGAAUGCGCAGAUAUCAGGAGGAACACCAAUAGCGAAGGCAGCUCGCUGGGACGGUAUUGACGCUAAGGCGCGAAAGCGUGGGGAGCAAACAGG
rnacentral:rRNA from 1 species